rnacentral:lncRNA from 1 species
GGGCUAUAAUCAUACUGGGGAUGCAAAAUGUGGUGGUGAAAUUGACAGAAAGUUCAUCAGGCAGCUCACAGUCAAACAGGGAAGAAAGAGAUUACACAAACCACAACACAAAUAAUUAACUGUAAUUGUGAGAAGAGCCACAAAAGAACUCCAAUCUUAAAAAUUCCUCUGGACAGUAUCAGAAACAGUCUUACUACAAUAAAAAUGGAAAUGAGUUGAACUGAUGUCAAUGCUCUUGACACGUGUAUUACUAGUUUGGAUAAGACAAAGACUAAAAGGGUCUUUGCAUUCUGUUUAGAAGUUAAAGCUGGCAACCAAAGAUCAUGCCUUCGUGAAGUAAUUAAUUCUUUCUUCAGAAAGUUACGCCCAAAAGAUGACUGAGAAAACCAGCGUUGCUUGCCCUUGAAGGAUUUAGUCCACCAUCACCAUCAAGAACCGAGAUAAAAAAUAUCAUCACAGGCCAACAGUUUUAGAAGUUAAGUUCAAGACUUCCUUUUCUACUUCGAGCUCACCUGAAAAGGGUGGAGAAGGGAAGAUGGUGUAAAAUCAGAAGCAGCUCGGAGGCGCCCUCCACGGACUGUCUCUUCAAAGGCCAGCCCUUCCCCUCAGUAACCCGGACCCUGCGUUCCUGCUCCUCCCUGUCAGGCCCACCUGCCUGAGAUACCACCGGAAAUGCGUUUGAUUUGUGAGAUAUCUUCUUUGCAAAUGAAAUCAUCUCGGGAAAAUUUCUCCUUAGCACCUACGUGCCCUGAAGACAUGGUAAUUUUGAUGAGUAGGGAUUGGAAAAGAUUA